CUAGUAAUGGUCAUGCCCCCUUUAUUAUACGUUUCUUAUUCUCCAACAUGCAACCAACUAUUCUGCAUAUUCUCCACCCCCGUGUCAGGUGAUCUUCCUGGUCACUUGCCAUGUGUUUUUUUUUUUUCUCCCUGCACGUCAUUAGUGCGGGCUCCCACAUGAUGAGAGCAGGGCUUACCUGUCCCUCCCCUCUCCCCACUUGGAGGCAACGCCCCCUUUUCCACACUGACCCAUAGCAACGCAGGCUCCUUUACAGACCCCUCCCACCUUACUCCUCCCCCUCUCCUAUUUAAAAGCCAAGCAGCCCCACAAUGUCAGACAUUGCUGGAUGGCUGCAGCAGCUGUACACACUCUACACUGCUUGUGUUUUCUUCCCAUCUUCCGAUCCCUCUACUGACCUCUCUGGCCACUUUUUGUCAUUACAGGUAAAAAUAUAUAUAUAUACAAUCAAUAAACUUUUACGCUGUGACACUUCGGGCCAAAGGUCUUGCUACGCUGUGAUUGAUAUUAGAUGCCAGUCCUCACUCCUCUCCUUACCAUCUGAGGCUUGCCAUGCGUCCCGAUUGCGAUGUCCUUUUAAGGGGUGUGCUGAGCCGUUGAAACUUCUCGGGUGAAAAGUUGUCUGUUACACUUUCUGACUCCACACAUACUUC